rnacentral:rRNA from 1 species
CAAGCGGUGGAGCAUGUGGUUUAAUUCGACGCAACGCGAAGAACCUUACCUGGGCUCGAAAUGUAGUGGAAUCCGGCAGAAACGUCGGCGUCUAGCAAUAGACCGCUAUAUAGGUGCUGCAUGGCUGUCGUCAGCUCGUGUCGUGAGAUGUUGGGUUAAGUCCCGCAACGAGCGCAACCCUUAUCUUCAGUUGCUACCAUUUAGUUGAGCACUCUGACGAAACCGCCUCGGAUAACGGGGAGGAAGGUGGGGAUGACGUCAAGUCCUCAUGGCCUUUAUGUCCAGGGCUACACACGUGCUACAAUGGCCGGUACAAACCGCUGCAACCCCGUGAGGGUGAGCUAAUCGGAAAAAGCCGGCCUCAGUUCGGAUUGGAGUCUGCAACUCGACUCCAUGAAGCUGGAAUCGCUAGUAAUCGUGGAUCAGCAUGCCACGGUGAAUACGUUCCCGGGCCUUGUACACACC